AUCUUUGCGCUUGGGGCAAUGACGCAGCUAGUGAGGUUCUAACCGAGGCGCGUCUAUUGCUGGUUGAAAACUAUUUCCAAACCCCCUCUUAGGCCUAGGUCCUGCUUAGGCCUUCGAGAAUUUCUGGAAGGGCUCCCCUCGGGGUAAAGCC
rfam:Ricinus communis cultivar Hale ctg_1100012352735, whole genome shotgun sequence.